UUAAAUUUGGUCAUAUUUGAUUUUAUUAUUUGCAAUCCCAUUCAGUGGAGCUACAUUUUCAAGACGUGUGACACGUUGCAACAACAGCUCAAGAUCCAAAGAUCAGAUGGAAGCUAUUUCCUUACCAACUCACAGAAUAAAUGGUUACCUUCAACGAAAUCAAAUACAGACAAAUUACUGUUGGGGGAAAAGUCCACUUACUAAUUGGCUCUCUUCCUAUUGGGCCAAUUACAUGACCUUUGUGAGGUCACACAUUUUCACGAUUCAGGUUGCGUAAUUAAAUACUUUUGGUGAUAGGAUAAGAGGCUUUGGAAUAGCUGUUCGUUGUUCCUCCUCUCAGACGAAAUGUCUUGUGUUCAAACCCCCGUGUCCACAGACCAAACCGUAGGCAGCCUUGAACAAGAUACUCAUAAUCCAACCUGCUUUUUAAUGAAUUGACUCUCAAAUGUGUACGCUGUGUAUUCUACCAAAUACCAGAGGGGGUACGUGUAUAUCAUAUAUAUUUAUCCAACAACAGAAAUAACAAGGACAACACAGUUACGAAAUUAAUGUGAAUUCUGAGCCAUUUACUGAUUGCGUUGAUAAUUGGCUUAUUAAAAGAUUUUUUUAUAGGACACUGGAAGUCUUGUGCUGCAGCCUAGUGGACAUGAUGGUGUACUGAUAUCCAUCUGUAAAAAAACAACAACAGCAAGAACGUACAUUUUUCUAAAUGUUAUGGAAUAUGUUGUUGAAGUACUUGGAUGGUCCCUUCUGUGCAUGCUUGUGCCAUGGUAACCUUACGGAGGGACGAGGUGACGAUGCUGUGAGCCAGCCGGUCAGCCAUGCAAUGAAGACGACCCUCACCAUCAUCACUCGCCUCAGUGGAUCUUCUCUGACCGAUAUCCAUCACCCCCUCACCAACCCGACCGGUCACCCACUCCAUGAUCUCCUCAGUCAGGUCCUCCAUGUAAGCCGCCAUUUUGGCUCCAUCCCACUGCUGCUGCCGUUGAGCUCCUUCUCCACCAUCACCUCCAUAGCGGUCCGCCAUGAAGCCCGACGAGAGCUCCUCGCCGUGGGGGUCUCCCAUCGACAGUGAGCGCACCACGUGCUCCACCAGCGCCACCCGGUGGUCAUCAUCGGUACAGAAAACGUUCCCCAAAGGGCCCCCUUCGCUCCGUCGGUCCUUGGGCUUCGGGGGAGGUGGAGACGGAGUCGGCAGGAACUCUCUAGCCAAUCCGUCGUUCAGCCUCCUGGAGAAGCUGCCUCCUCGGCCCUCCCGCUCCUGCUCCGGGACGACGGGCGAGGUCGGGGGUGCAUCGGGGUAGUCCAGCGACCCCACAGCGGUGCACUCCAGCUGGGAUGGCGGAGGGGGGUUCCAGCCCUGGAUGGGUUUCCCACGAGAACACGUCUCUCGAAGGGCGGAGGCAAUCGUGGCUGAGGCGAUGAGUCCAGCCAGGACUUCCACAGAAGAUUCCUCCUUCAGGUCCUCUUCCUCCCCUCCUGCUUGCUCUUGGUCCAGGGGGUCUUCAUCGUCGUCAAAGGAGAGGAAGGGGUCCUCCUCCUGGUGCUGGUGGAGGUCGGCGUGGAACAAGCUGAGAAUGUUCCGGGCCAUGGCGGACCCAAAGCGUUCGGGGAGGCCCAGGCUCAGAGGAAGGCGUUUUAGAACAUCUGAUAAGUUAAAAUAAGGUUCCGGAAUUGGUUCUAGAACCCGUGGUAGGUUGGAAGGAGGUUCUGGAAUGGGUUCUAGAACCCCUGAUAGGUUGGGAGGGGGCUCUGGAAUGGGUUGUUUGUCUUUAACCGACUUUUCUCCAUCUUCUUUCAUCAUGAGAACCUGCGAGAUCCAACAUUAAAAGAUUUAGUUAUGAAAUUUAUUUGGGUUGACUAAACAAAAGUACUCUACUCAUGUUUAGAUGAAUGAUGGCAAACCUAAUUGAGUGCUUAAAUUGUUUCUACAACAUUUAGUUACUGGAUUUACUGCUUGAUAACAGGCUUCCGUUUUUUUUUUUUUUUUUACCACAAGCAAGCUAAAGCUCAACUUA
ensembl:lncRNA